rnacentral:lncRNA from 1 species
GCUGCGUCGCAGUGUAUGACCGAUUACGAAUUCUCGUAAAACGCUAAAACUGCCGUGUCCUGCAACCCUAAACCAGCGCCGAAAACUAUGUUUCAAAAUCGGCAUGGGCUGUAGCAGAACAACGCGCGCGCUCGUUCACCCGCAGCGCAGAGAGCCGAGAGAAAGAGAGAGAGAGAGAGAGAGAGAGAGCUGCGAGAGAAAUAUAAUAACCGCCGGCGCGGUUCUCGCGUUACCGCCGUCAGUUCUCCGAUUAUAAAGAGCGCGAACGGAGGCCUCUCUGCGCGCGUAUGCCUGUGUGUGUAUAUAUGUUUCAUCGGUAUGUGAGGUGCAGAGACGACGGCUAUCUGGAAUCGACGAUUCGACGGAGUGAUGAAGAGUGGAGACGACUGAAAAAAAUAAAUGAAAGACUGAUUUGUUGAUAUUAAUAUAUUUUUAACGAGUAAAUAUUUCGUACUUGUUGUUAUAAGCAUUUCGAAUAAAGAAUAUACCUCACAAUUGACUCACGUGCCUCCUUUUUGUUACAUGAAUUUUAAUUGAUUGCGAACUGGAAAUUUCCUACGAGGAGCUCGCAUCACGAAUCGUUUCCAGGCUCUGAAACAAACAGACCGUACCGUUAUAUAGGUGCACGAGGUUACGACAUACCUAUAGCUUUAUAAGACUUUUUCUGAAAUUGCGUACUUUGUGCGUUGCAUAAAAACUACCGCAGUCUUAAAUUUAGGGAAGAUAGGUAUCAGUUAACACGGAAUUUGUUCAGCAAACUUGCAAUUUUAUUGAUUUUUUUUACCUUUUCAUUUUAUAACGUGAGAACAAAUUAUAAAAUAUGUGAUUUUACAAUUCAAAUUAAAAACUUCAUAGGCUUACUCAAUCAAUAAUACUAACAUUAGAUUACUCAUACCCACGACCCUGUGUGUUACAUGGAUUUGAAAAGUGACUUGUUGCCGACUCUAUAUUUUCUUAUUUUUUGAUAUUCAAGAUGCAUAAAUCAUAAAGUUUUUAAAUACAAUUUUUUUUAAUAUUCACGUUAUACAAGGUGCGUAAUUCUGAUAGCAAAUGAAAUAUUUUGAUAUGGUGAAUGAAUCUGUGAUGAUUUAAAGUAACAUACUCAUUAUUUUUAUUGCAAUAUAUACAGAAUAUGCUAUUAAAUUGCGCAUCAUUCUGUGUGCUUUCUAUGCAUAUAGUUAAGUGUUAUACCAAUAUUAAGUCUAAGAUUAAUCAGAGUUUAUAUACGUUAGUUAUAAAUUUAACUUAGAAGCUCUUGCCGAGUAUCACCUCUAAUAAAAAUAAUUUUUACUAUUUACAGGGACAUUUUACAACAACCUAAGGCAAGCUAUCAAACUCCCGCUUCACACAAUACUUAGCAUACAAAUACAAAUGAUAAAUAUCGUCAAUAAUAUGCAUUUGCAAAAAUCAAUAGAAAAGUUUUUUCGUCGUGUA